rnacentral:rRNA from 1 species
UUUAUUGGAGAGUUUGAUCCUGGCUCAGGAUGAACGCUGGCGGCGUGCCUAAUACAUGCAAGUCGAGCGAAUGGAUUGAGAGCUUGCUCUCAAGAAGUUAGCGGCGGACGGGUGAGUAACACGUGGGUAACCUACCCAUAAGACUGGGAUAACUCCGGGAAACCGGGGCUAAUACCGGAUAACAUUUUGAACUGCAUGGUUCGAAAUUGAAAGGCGGCUUCGGCUGUCACUUAUGGAUGGACCCGCGUCGCAUUAGCUAGUUGGUGAGGUAACGGCUCACCAAGGCAACGAUGCGUAGCCG